rnacentral:rRNA from 1 species
UACAGAGGUCUCAAGCGUUGUUCGGAUUCAUUGGGCGUAAAGGGUGCGUAGGCGGCGCGGUAAGUCGGGUGUGAAAUCUCGGAGCUUAACUCCGAAACUGCAUUCGAUACUGCCAUGACUAGAGGUCGGUAGGGGAGUGUGGAAUUCCUGGUGGAGCGGUGAAAUGCGCAGAUAUCAGGAGGAACACCCGUAGCGAAGGCGGCACUCUGGGCCGAUUCUGACACUGAGGAGCGAAAGCGUGGGGAGCGAACAGG